AGCUAGCUCGAAAUUACUUUUAGAAAACUUAGAUGCAAUUUCUUAAGUGAUGUGGUGUUGUUCCUAACUCCAAUUGAAGUUUCACCUCGUUAAUCCGUGUAAUAAACGUAUGUAUUAAAGGAUUACACCUCAGAGGGAAACUUCAAUUCUAGUUGGAAAACAGCAACAACAACUUCUAAGGAACUGUAAGUAAGUUUUGUCAAAAAAACUUUCUUAGACCUUGGUAAUCUUUAUAAUAGACGUAUUUAUUAAAAGAGUACGACUAGCAGAUUAUCAAGAUGAAACCUCAAUUUUGAUUGGAGAACAAUAACAACCAUACUAAGUAACUGUAUCUAAGUUUUAAUCCAUAAUUUGUUAGCUUAAUUGCUUCAGUAUAUAUAUGUUAACCAAUAUAUAUUAAUCGAAUUAUAUGUGAAGGUGCCCAUACAAUUGGCCGAGCAAGGUGUACACUGUUUAGCAAUAGAUUAUUCAACUUCUCAGGAACAGGUGCACCAGACAGCACACUAGAAACUGGCAUGCUCUCUGACCUGCAAAGUUUGUGUCCUCAAAAUGGAGAUGGAAAUGUUACUACAGUCCUUGAUCGGAAUUCAUCGGAUCUAUUUGACAUUCACUACUUCAAGAACCUGCUCAGUGGAAAGGGGCUUCUCAGUUCUGACCAGAUUCUAUUUUCUAGUGAUGAAGCUAAUUCAACAACAAAACCUUUAGUCCAAAGCUAUAGCAACGAUAGUGGACAAUUCUUUGGGGACUUUGCCAACUCUAUGAUCAAGAUGGGGAAUAUAAAUAUUAAGACUGGGACUGAUGGAGAGAUUAGGAAAAACUGCAGAGUGAUAAAUUCUCAGUAAUAUGAUAAGAAACGCUUUGCAAGAUAUGGAAUAAGCAGAAGAUGCGGUGUCUUCCUGUUACAUUAGGUAAUUUAGGUUGGUGUUUAUAUAUGUUACUCAAAAUGGAAUUUGUAGGUGGAAAUGUGCUUUUCAGAUGAAUGUGAGCAACUUAACCCAACAAAAGAUAAAUUAAAGAUAGUAUCAACGAUUCCCUCGUUUUAUGUUAUGUGCACCAGUUUUUUUCUAUUCAGAUUGUUUUCUUAAUUCCUUGGCAAGUUCACAAAUUUGUAUAAAUAAUAAUAAAUGAUAAGAUCUAGUCUAUAUAAUUUGUAUAUUGUAUACACUAAAUUUUAAGUGAUGGAAAAAAGAAAAGUUGAUAUAUUUUAAGGUAAAAAGCAUUAAUGUAAAGUUUAAGAGUAACAUAAGACAUAAAAAAAUAGCAAGAUUCAAAGAGAUAAGAAAAACACUUAAGGGAUAAAAAUGAUAACUUAGUAUAAAUCUUGUAAAACUGUUGGAUGUUCCGUCUACCAAAUGAAUUCUUGAUGUAAUAAUGAUUUUUACCCUUUAAGAUUAUUUCAACUAUUACUUUCACUAAGUUAAUUUACUCUAAGCAUGAUUCCUCAUGUGAAAGAGAUUAAGUCACUUGAUUUCACUGUUAAAUCAUUCAAAAAUUCAACCAAAUACUUUGUUUUAAGAAUUCAUUAAUUAAAAAAAUGAAUAAACAGGUGACAAAUAAAGUUAUAACAAAUGUAAUUGGUUUAACAGAAAUUAGAAAUGAAAAAAAUAUAGGUUAAUGAAAUUAAGUUUGAAAUAAGGUAAAAGUAAUUACUAUAGCACUCUUUUAUCCCAAGACACAUAGUAUCCUCAAAAUAUGUUUGGUGAAAUUUAAAUAAAAAGGUGUACUAAUUUUUCAAAAACUUAUUUGGCCAAAAAAGAACAUUGCAUCUCACAUCUUUAUAAACAUAAAGAAAUACAACUCAAUAAAUAAUAUAAUAAAAAAUUAAAGAACUUUUGGCACUUCAAAGACUAUACAAAAUCAUGUUAAUAAAAUAUAAAAAAAUAAAUCAUUGAAAAUUUUACAUUAAUGACUAAAAACUCAUGCUCGGAGACAUUCCGUCCAAACACAAAUUAAAACAAACAAAUAAAUGAGAAGUGAAUCUCAUCACACAUAACAAUAUAAAAAUUAGAAACAUAUAUGAUCACACACGGAAAAACACUUGUAACAUAGUCAUAUAAGUAUAAAUAUCCUCUUAAACACGCAUACAUUAUGAUGUGAAUUCAAUGUAAGACUCUAGAUGCGUAUGAUACUAAUAAAACACUUGUGAAAGAAGCUUAAAAGGACAUGCAAUCGACAAAUUUUUAUCCCAUGAGAAACCAAAAAUCACGUUCUCAAUCAAGAUAAGAGACUAGUGUCUCUUACCUAAUCUUGCAAGGAUACUCCAAGUCUCCAAUUCAUGUAAUUAACACAAGUCACAUAAAGAUUUUAAAUUAGAUAACACUCCUAAUGCCAAAGUCAUAUUCAACUAAUUCAUCAUCUUCUCGUUUAAGUUCAACAUCACUCAAAAGACUUACCAUAUGAUAUGAUGCAUAUAUGAGACAUACAAGAUAUCUAUGACAUUUUUAUACAUACUAGUACCAUUAUCACAUGGUGGAUGUUUUCACAAAUGAUCACUUAGGUCACAUACACUUCAUUUCAAACAUUAUCUUGAUAUAACUAGAUCCACCUCAUGUACAUAGAUGCAUCAGUCUCUCAAUGCCAACAUUAUAAGCUAAUAACAAUCACAACACACCAUUAUUCGAGUAAGCACAUAUAUACACAUACACAUACAUAGUAGCUAAACAUAACAUAGUAACUGAACUUAAUUAUCAAUAAAAUUAGUAGAUACUUCAUACCGAUAUCAUAGUAACAAAAAAUAUAAAUAUGUUUAUAUUAAAUGCUACUAAUAUUAUUUUAUUAUUAUACUCUUGUUAAAUUUAUUAAAAAUUAAAAUUUAUUAAAUUUAGUGCUUUAAUUUAUUAUUAGUUAUAUUUUUUUAAAAUACAUAACAAAAGUGGAUCUUAUUUAUUAUUUAUUGACCAUUAUUCAUAAUUACAUAAUUUUUAAUAAUUUUUUUAUAAAUUUAAUGUCUAUACACUAAUGGUGUAAAACUGUCAUUAAAUUACAUAUUAUCAUUUGAAUUACUUUAAGAUAAUUAUUUUAAAAGUCAACAAAUUUAUCAUAUAUAAUGGAUUAAUUAUGCAUGAUUGAGUGUUUGUGCAUAACUUUUUUUUUAUAAAAAUUCUUUUUAAUAAACUUUAUGUCUUAUUAACACUCUUUACAUUAAUAUGUUAGAAGUUUAAUUUUAGGGGUGCGCAAAAUACCAUUAGAACCAAAUUAAAUAUAAAACCACUAUUAUAUAUAUACCGAUCGUAAUGGAUUUCCUAUCUGUGUUAAAGUUGUCAAUUAAUUAACCUAAAGAGGUAGUUGUAGAGAAGUGAUCUUCUCCUUCUGUAAGUGGUGUGGCAAAUAGGGAGGGAAUGGCCAUCAGAAAAAAAUAAAAUUAAACAUAAUAUUGAAUAUUGAUAAUAAAGACAAAUUUUCAGCAUAAAGCUUCUCACAUGUACAGCAAUGUCUCGAGGAAUUAAUGAAUCUAAUCGUCAUCCACAGUGUCAGUCCAUCAAGUAGAUCUCUGAUUGGACUGUGAUAUUAGGUUAUGAUCGUAAACUUAGUUAAUGGAAGAGGCACCCAUGCAUGAGUCCACACAUUAAACAAAUUUGGUUUAUUAAUUAAAAUACAGAACACGUGCCAAUUAACUGGAAAAUCUUGCAAAUUGGAGGUUUAUAAAAUUAUAAUAUAUAUUUUGGUGCGUCUUAAUUCAUGAACUCGAAGAGAAAACCUUUUUAUUACAUAGAAUUUGAUAAUUAUUACAUCAUGCAUGUCAAUAUAACAUCACACUAACACGACAAAGUUAUUUUUUCAAAUAAUUAAUGCAUAUUCAUGUCAUAUGACUUGUUAAAUAGAACAAUUCCACGACAACCGAUCCACUACCGCGUCCAGUGAUUAUAUAUUUUAAAGGUUGUUAUUCUGGAUCACUUUUAUUACAUAAUUCUAUGAAGAGAGUAAGUGUUUAAAUGUGCAAGAUUGAUUUAACUACGUAUGGAGGUUAUAAAAUUAAACAGUCUCUAAAGGGUAUAAGCACACAAAUGUUGAAUUCAGUCAAACACGAGGCCACUGAGCAGCAAAUUAAGUCACAAGUGGUGCUUUUAUGUGAAUACAUAAAUGUGACAUCUCUCGUAUCAUUGUCUAUAAAUUAAGCCUCUAAGUUUUCACAUGCAUUCAUCUUGCCCUGGCCUCUUGAAUAAUUUGCAUCCUUGCUUUGGUCUUAUAGUUAUUAGUUAGAGCUUUAAUUUGCAAAGUAAUUGGCAAUGAAGCGGUCAUGUAGUUCGAGUGGUUGUUACUUUUGGUUAAUGAAUAUGAAUAUGUUCCUGUUGCUUUUGGCAGUAAAGUCUGAACUGACAACAGACUUCUAUAAGUCAUCAUGUCCUAACGUUUCCAAAAUAGUAAGGAGAGAGGUUAAAAAAGCUCUCACGAAUGAGAUGCGAAUGGCUGCUUCUUUGCUUCGUCUUCACUUUCAUGAUUGCUUUGUGAAUGUGAGUUUCAGUGACAUAUAUGGUUGUUUUAUUAUGUGCAUGCACACUUCAGUCAAAUUGCAUGCUUAGAUAGAUUUAUUGUAUUUCAACACACAGUUUUGUCAGUAAGCUGCUCUGAAGAAUUUAUUUAUUUAUUAUUUAUCCAAAGAGAAAUUAUUAUUUUAUUGAAAUACUGUACGUUAUUAUUAGUAUUCCAAAUUUCCAGCUAAUAUAAGUUGUUUAGAGUUGGAGUAAAGAUCUCAAGCUCCAUUCUCCUAUACAAGCAUGGAGUAGUAGUCACUGAAACUGAAAUAUUAAUUAUUCUUUCUUUCAAUUCCAUAUACAUUAAAAUCUGAUAUAGCUUUAUUUCAUUUAAAUCUUAAAUUAUUUUCUUUGAACAUGAUCAGGGUUGUGAUGGAUCAAUACUACUAGAUGGUGGUGAUGAUGGAGAGAAGUCUGCUGUUCCUAACCUGAACUCUGCCAGAGGAUAUGAUGUUGUAGAUACAAUCAAAAGUUCAGUGGAGAGUGAAUGUGACGGGGUUGUCUCAUGUGCUGAUAUAUUAGCCAUCGCUGCCAGAGAUUCUGUUUUCCUGGUAAUUCUAUUCAAAUCCCAUUAUUCUCUAUAUUAAUUUCUUCAUUAAUUUUUCUUAUUUCGUUUACGACUCAAGGAACAUGCACGGAAAUGAAAUAUAAUUACUUACCCAAACAAGUUGCGGAAGUGAUUAACUACACCUUUCAUGUUUUUUUAUGAACUUUUUUCUCAAACAACGAAUUUGGGUUUAGCAUAAUUAGAUUAGAUAUUUCACUCAUAAAGUCAUUAUAAUGUUUCGUAGAGUGGUGGUCCUUCUUGGAAGGUUCUGCUAGGACGAAGAGAUGGAACAGUCUCAAACGGAACUCUAGCAAAUGAGGCGCUUCCUGCACCAUUUGAUCCAUUGGAUACCAUCAUUUCAAAGUUUGCUAAUAUGGGCCUUAAUCUCACAGAUGUUGUUUCUUUAUCAGGUAACAUAGAACUUCGCCAUGACUUCUCAAGCUGGCUAGUUCGUAAAUGGAAAAUGUUUCAUAAGCACCCAUUAUAUUAUAAGACACCCAAAGAGAAAGAAAAAUACUUAUAAUACUUAUAUUAUAAGAUUUAUGAUAUUUAUGAUAGGAUAUAAAGAGAGAUAAAAAGAAAUUAAAAUUUUUGUUUAUCAUUAUUCUUUGUAAUUAGAUGUUUAAAAUAAGUGGGUGUUUGUUUAUCAUUAUUUUUUUGUAAAUAAAUAAUAAAGAAAAUUAGAUAUAAUUUUUUAGAUGUUGUUCCCUAAUUAGAAUUAAAGUUUCACAUUAGUAAUCCAUAUAAUAGAGGUAUGCAUUAAAGGAUUGUGCAGAAUAUGAAAGUAAAACUUCAUAUUUAAUUGGAGAGCAGCACCCAGAGGGAACUGGAUCAGAGUAAAAAAAAAAAAAAAGAUAUAAUUUUCGGUGUUGUUGGUGUUUUUCUUCAAUUAAAAUUGAAGUUUCAUCUUACUAAUCUGUGUAAUGAAGAUAUGCAUUAAUGAUUUACGUAGACUAUGAAGAUGGAACUUUAAUACUGAUUAAAGAAUUACACCAACAACUCGUAAAAAACUGUACGUAUCCAAGUUUUUUUUUCUUAAUUUGUUGGCUUAAUUGCUUCGAUAUAUGUAUGGUAACUUAUAUAUAUUAAUCGAAUUAUAUGUGAAGGUGCCCAUACUAUUGGCCGAGCAAGGUGUACACUGUUUAGCAAUAGAUUGUCCAACUUCUCCGGAACAGGUGCACCAGACACUACACUAGACACUGACAUGCUCUCUGACCUGCAAAGUUUGUGUCCUCAAAAUGGAGAUGGGAACGUUACUACAGUCCUUGAUCGGAACUCAUCGGAUCUAUUUGACAAUCACUACUUCGAGAAC
rnacentral:lncRNA from 1 species